AGGCCAGUAGCUCAAGACGGCAGAGCACCGGACUCCAAAUCCGGGGGUUGGGGGUUCAAGUCCCUCCUGGCCUG
rnacentral:tRNA from 1 species